rnacentral:rRNA from 1 species
GAUGAACGCUGACAGAAUGCUUAACACAUGCAAGUCAACUUGAACUUCGGUUUGUGUGGCGGCCGGGUGAGUUACGCGUAAAGAACUUGCCUCACAGCUAGGGACAACAUUUGGAAACGAAUGCUAAUACCUGAUAUUAUGAUUAUAUGGCAUCGUAUAAUUAUGAAAGCUAUAUGCGCUGUGAGAGAGCUUUGCGUCCCAUUAGCUAGUUGGAGAGGUAACAGCUCACCAAGGCGAUGAUGGGUAGCCGGCCUGAGAGGGUGAUCGGCCACAAGGGGACUGAGACACGGCCCUUACUCCUACGGGAGGCAGGAGUGGGGAAUAUUUGACAAUGGACCGAGAGUCUGAUCCAGCAAUUCUGUGUGCACGAUGAAGUUUUUCGGAAUGUAAAGUGCUUUCAGUUGGGAAGAAAAAAAUGACGGUACCAACAGAAGAAGUGACGGCUAAAUACGUG